UACAGAGGGUGCAAGCGUUAAUCGGAAUUACUGGGCGUAAAGCGUGCGUAGACGGUUAUGUAAGUCGGGUGUGAAAGCCCCGGGCUCAACCUGGGAAUGGCAGUGGAUACUGGCAAGCUAGAGUGCGGUAGAGGGGUGUGGAAUUCCCGGUGUAGCGGUGAAAUGCGUAGAGAUCGGGAGGAACACCAGUGGCGAAGGCGGCACCCUGGACCAGCACUGACACUGAGGCACGAAAGCGUGGGGAGCAAACAGG
rnacentral:rRNA from 1 species